GCACGAGAUAACGACUCGUUGACGUCGUGCUCCCGGGAUAACAGCGUUUUCACCUGAUAACUGGGAUGUUUAUCGUGAGAUAAUGAGGUAGAUUAAGUUUUCACUAUCACGAGGGAACAAUGUUCAGAAAGCUGUGUACGUUUAGGCUUGUAUAUUGGUUGCCGUGGUAACAGGAUGGACGUGUCUCACCUGAUGUCUCCAGCAGCGAUGAACACGGGCUCUUUGCUCUCCAGGCUGGUGAUGCUGUCCACUGAGAACUGACUGAUGUUAUCACAGCUGUUAGUGUGCAGCUCUGGAAGCUGUGAGACAGGUCAGAGAGGGAGACAGGUCAUACAGAAACAGGUCAGAGAGGGAGACAGGUCACAGUGAGACAGGUCAGAGAGGAAGAGCAGUCAGAGAGGGAGACAGAACAGAGAGAG